CCACCAGUAAGAGGGAAGAGCCAGCCAGUCCUUCUCCUCUGGGGCGGAGGGCAGGGGGGAGUGGGAUGAAGGUGGCUGAGCCCUCUCCCAGCAGAGCAGCAGCCCCAGCCCAGGAGCCCCGCCACCACUUCCUGACUCCCAGCCCAGCAGGAGGAGCAGCAGCCUCAGGAGACAGUCCUGGCCCUGGGUUGAGCAGCAGCCAGAGGGGCAGAAAACAGAACGAGCGCAGGGACUCCAGGCCUCUGCCAGAGUUGGGUUGGGACAAGCAAACUGCCCUGGAGAAUGCUGGCUCAAGUAGCAGUUACAAGAGUUAAAUGGUCUACCACUAAAGCUGUGGAAGAGAGUUAGGUUCAAUUCUUCUCCAUGCCUCCAGUUGCCAGCAGUGAUGGUUGGAAGAUCUGGAUUGAAACACCUCGAAGAGAUGGAAAUCCCAGAACUGGGGAAGAAGAGCAUAUACAGAGAAAACUUCAAAAGAUGCCAGGGACAGGGUUAAAAAACAACAUAAAAAACCAGGAAUUGGUGAAGUCAUUGUAGCAGAAGAAAGAGGCAAUCUCUCACCUUGGUUAUUGGCACCUAUGGAAAACCCUUGGAAAAGGGUGAAAUCUAUGAAAAGGCACGAAGAAAAGUGUUGUUCCUACUUGCACUGCAUCAUUCCCUCAGAUCAGCAUGGCUUAGCACCUUGUGUUAUUUCUCACAGUGAGCCCCACUUCUGGAUAUCAUGCUGGGAAAUACAUGUAACACCAUCUACUGCCAUAUGGAUCAGCUGUGGAAGAGGGGGACAAUCGCAUUCUGUAGUAGGCAUGCUGAGCACUUUGGAGAGCAUGGUGUCCUGAACAUAGACACCCUCAGAACUGAUCACAUUUGUGCUCAAAUGGGCCCCUGGAGAGUACUUAAACAGCCUAUUUGGACUGUGUAGGACAGUUUGCACAAAGGAGCAUUUUCACGUGAAUGUGUUUCACACCUAAGUUACAUUGGUUUACAUUGUGUUUUCCAGACCCCCAAUUUUACACUGUGCAGAAGUUCUGCAGAUGUUAGAAAGAUAAGUUGUGUUUCCAACCUAUCUGCAUUUCCAAAGUACCUAUCACCAUAGCAUGUGCUUUGCCUGUACCAAAUUAGGGCAGGGACCAUAUUUUUAUGUGUUUGUACAGCACCUAGCAAUGGGGUUCUGAUCAAUGACUGGGGGGCUUCUAGUCACUACUGCCAUAAUAAUACAGAGAGAUCAAUGGGAUUUGAGGAGUUUCUACCCAGGGAUCUUGGCCUUAUGAGAGUGGGAGGCCAUAAACCUGGCCACUAAGUGCCCUAUAAACCUCCCUCAAGGAGGCCAGACUGUAACAGAUUUAAACUGCAGCUCCAAGCCUCCGAUAUAAUAAUAAUCCCUCCACUUCCAUGUCAGUGAUUCCCAAGACUUUUUUUCACAA